GUCAUGCCCUACCCACAGCGGGGGGCGGAGAGCCAGUAGCUCAGGCCAGCUCCCAACUGCGGGGGGACUUGUGAAUUUCACUUAUCACCUCCUGUGAGCUUCUCUACGAAGAGGCGCUUUAGCAGCGAGGUUGGGUGAGAGAUGAGGCAGGAGUUCCCCUGCUCCCAUCAGCCCUAUACGCCCAAGUGGUGGCUGCAGGGGGGUAUUCUCUAGCUGGGGGCGGCAGGAGUUUGUGGUAUGACAUCGAGCACCAGCCAAGUUCCUAGCGACUCUACUAGACACCACUUUUUCAACUGUUUCUUUGGAGGGAACAGCUAGAAGCUUCCUUCCUUCGAUGAUGUUGUUAGUAGAAAAUCCUCUCUCCUGCAAUCAUUAGUCAGGGGGGGGAAGCCCUCCCAACAAGGCAAUCUAGCCCAGACUCCAAAGGCAGCACGUUUUGCAUGAGAGAAACUUUGAAAAGGGACGAUCUCUGUCCUUAGGAAAUGCAGUUAGUAAUAGGAUUAAACUGUUAGCAAUGCCCCAGUGCAAACAACAUAAAACAAACCUUCAGAAAUGGGAACCUCCCCGCCUGAAUUAACGCAAUCAACGGAUCAUUUGCAUCAAGCCUUUUACAUGGACCUUGCAAAUGUUAGCAUGUAAACGCUUUAACGCUUCUCGUAAAGCUUCUGAAACGGGGCCAAUAGCUGUCAUCAAACCUCAAGCGUGAGUUUCUUUCAGGCUAGAAAAUAGGAUCAAAAAGUAUUGAAGGGAGAAUCGUUAGUUGGGAGUUUUCGGUGAGAGUCCAGGCGUCACAAUUAAUCGUUCCAAGCCAAACCCAGUCGCAGUGCUGAGUUUUCUCUCAGUCCAUCGUUCUCCCGAACUGUCUCAAGGGAGUUUGAACUUCAACCAGCAUGAAUCUAGAGUGAUCAGACCCGGGGGGCGAAGGGGGAGGUUAGAGAUUCUUGACGCUGUAGCAGAUCUGGAAGAAAUGAUCCACACGGAGUGGGGGGACUGGGAGACAGUGGCAUAGGGCUGCUGCGAUCCAUGCCGAAUUAGUCCUAACCAGAAAGCCCCCGAUGCUGAAUCCGCAAUCCGAGGCUGCUGAGUUAAGAGAGAGAGGAUCCGGUCCGUUGCCAAUUACUGGGACAUUUCCCUUUCCCACUCAAGCGAUGGCGAGCGAUUGUCUCUUUAACGCGGCCAUUCGUCAAAGAAAAGCUCCCUCCGGAGAGCGAGAGAGUAACCAGUUUCUGUGGCCUUUUGAAACCACCUUCCAAUCCUGCUGUAGGGCCACAUCAAUAUUUAACCGCCGCCCCUCCUCUCCCGCCACCUGUCAGGGGAGGAGAGGGUCGCUGGCUGCCGUCAGCCCUAGGGGCAUCCCUUGUAAAAGACAUCACAGCGUCCCAGGCGGCUGGCUAGCCAGCGCUGCGAGGGGAUGAGUGCAGAGAUCCCAGCUGCGGCGACCAGCCCGCGGGGUGUGGGCUCGGUCCCAUGCAGCCCAGAGACGCCGAGGAGGGGCGUGCUCCUUGUUAUUUGUUACCCGCUUCCUGCUAAUUGCUCGCCCUUCCCUUUUCUGCUCGCAGCCCGCGAGGACUUAUGGCAACAAAACGAAACGAUUUAUUUUUGGGCGCUGACUUUACGCUCUGUCGCGAGUAUUCUUUGUCAGCGACUGUCCUGUACUGAAUGGAGCCUUCCUCUGCUUGACACGCUUUCCGCCUCCUCAAUCGGAAUAGGACGAAGAUAAAUCUACCGCACGUGUGAACAGGAUGCCUUCUUUUCAGCUUUAAAGCAGCACAUUGCAGGGAUAUGAUUCUUACUAUAUAUUUCUUUGCAAAUGAGAUAAUACGUGCUCCACGCCAAACUCCCCUGA